rnacentral:rRNA from 3 species
UUUGACCUCGAAUCAGGUAGGAUUA